ACCUUUUCUCGGCCUUUUGGCUAACAUAAAGUGUAGUAUCAAAAGUUUAAUAUAUGGUAUGUGGGCCACAUGUCCACUUUAGUUUUAAAUUUAUAUUUUUGUGGGGAGGGUCCACUUUAAUCUUAAAUUUAUUUUUAUAGGAAAUGUUUAUUACACUGGCUUACUGGAUCCUCGGGUGUCAUACAACUGUUGCACUAUAUCUUCAAAUAUGAUUGGUGUACCAUCG
rnacentral:snRNA from 1 species